CUGAGACCAGCCACCCAGACAGCUGCUGCAACAAUCGGUUUGCAAAGCCAAAGAAUUUCUGCACAAACUGUCAGAAACCGACUCAGGAAGCUCAUCUGCUUGUUCGUCGUCCUCAUCGGAGUCUCGACCUGACUGCAGUUCAUUGUCGUAACCGACUUGAGUGGGCAAAUGCUCACAUUCGAUGGCAUCUGGCACUUCACGGAUGAAUCACGGUUUUCACUGUACAGGGUAGAUGGCAGACGGCAUGUAUGACGUCGCGGGGGUGAGCGGUUUGCUGAUGUCAAUGUU